CACACACACAAACCAGAAGCUGAGAAAUUAGGUCUGGGAGUGUAUGCCUGUGUUUUAAAUGUGUACAGUGGACGUAGCGUGUGGGGUGGAAGUGCAGAGCGGAGUGAGUCUUAAAGCUGGAAGGAGAGAAAGAAAGACAAAUAUGAGGCUUAUGUAAAGCUCCUUAAUAUUUCAGGUUCGUACAGGCACUGAGGGAUGAAUGAAAGAAUAGAUGGAUGGGUGAAUGAAUGGACGGAUGGAGGUCUGCCACUGCAGGACGAGUGACGUCAGCCCUGUAAACUAAGCACAUAAUCCUCCGUAGGCCUGACCCACUCCUUUAGUGUAAGAGACUGACAUCUAGUGGUCAGCAGCUAGAACACCAUCAUUCUGACGUUUUGCUUUCUUUUAACACUCAAAAACGUCCAAAUGUAUAAUCCUGAUUUCUUGCUCACCUCUUUGUGUUACAUCUGUGUUUGCUCGGCCUGAGUGCGGUGGCCCAGAUGAGCUCCAAGAAGCACAGGCUGAUGACAGCACCUCAUCAAACUGUAAAGUGGUAUAAAAAGACACAGCGGAAAUGAAGAGGUCACCGAUAAGUGAACAGCGAUGACAGCGGCGAACCGUGCGAGCUGGAGGCCAUUCAGAAGGAGCUGGAAGAGCUGCUGGUUAAAAAGGAAGAGUUGGAGAAACAGGGAAAGAGCUCCAAGCUCAGCGAUGGUCAACAGGAUGUGUGUCCCACUUUUUGUAAAACUGAGACACCCUGUGGGGGAAUCUACUUGCUGCCACCUCCCCAGCUGACAGAGGAGGACAUUGCACUGGAUUGGAGAGAAAAAACUAGGCCUGCAGCAGAAGAACCAAAAGGCCCAAUCGUCUCAGCGGACAGUCUAGGUCAAAUGCCAGCUGUGACCCAGUGUCCAUCCUGUCAAGAAGUUGUCUUCACAGAGACCUGCAGGAAAAGGGGCGAGGCUAUGUGGAUACUUUGCUACAUAUGCACCAUAUUGGGGUGUGUCGCAGGCUGCUGUUUAAUCCCUUUCUUCAUGGACCGUCUGAGGAACGUCCAACACCGGUGUCCCAGGUGCCAGGCACUCAUACACACCUACCGGCCAUUUUGACACGGGGGUUAGAACAGCCCCUGAAGUACCAUUCCUUCUGUCCUCGAGUGACCCUUUCCUGUGAUCUUGGACUUGUUUGGGACUCUUGGACUUUUACUCCCCUGCCCCACCAACACUACAUUAAGGAAACUCCACAAGCAUUUUCACACUUUGCUUUUCGUCUGGGAGGGGCUUGUUUCACGUUCGACUCUACAAUGGCAACUGCAGCGCUGAUACAAACUGCACAAAGGCUCAGACAAUCAAACAUACUAUUCUUUGACCGCACCUGUGAUGUCGCUGCUAAAACUCAUAUUGUAAAAGUCAGCAUCAGUUUGCCUGAAUAUCUGCAUGGACGCAAAAUACUGCUCAUUUAAUGUGUCAGAUACAAAGGCUGCAGCAAAAAAACGAUUCCUAAACUAAAAAGGGUUGAGGCCCGUUUGCUGCUUAUGUUAGGAUACAGCUUUAUUGGUUGUCUAUCAACCAUACAAUGACCCUUGGUGUAGGGACAACAUACUUUUGGGAACAUCCAUUAUCUGAAAGCAAAAUGUAAAUAUAUUACUGAAGAUAUGCAAACAUGGGCCACAAACAGUUUUCAUACACUGUAAACCACAACACAAUUCAAAUGUAGUGGCUUCCUUCAUUCUUCUGUUUCCGCAGGCUCACCUGUUACUGGAAAAGCGACACUGUUCAUAAUGUUUGUAAUGUAUUUAUAGAAAAAUGUGAAUUACUCAGUAACUCUUAACCUCUGCAGAGGAGUUCA